ensembl:lncRNA
GCUCUUUAUUUCUUUAUUUUAGUCUUUAUUGGUCACCUAUACAUUAGAGCACAGUGAAAUUCUUUUCCUCGCAUGCCCCAGCCUGUCAGAGUGCGGUCAGGUAGGCUUCAAAAUCCUAUGAAUCUUAUCUUUUAUUAUCAUCUUAGCUUUAUAAUAUAUAUAUUUAUAAUUCGUUUCAUCAUCUGAUUUAUUCCUUCUUCCAAUCUCUGUCCAUCAGGGCGUUUGCUAAUUGUAUGCCCCUGUUGGAAGUGGAGGACAUGAUGAUCAUGGGUAAGAGGCCUGACUCCAAGUGCGUCUUCACCUACGUGCAGUCGCUGGUCAAUCACCUGCGCAGAUACGAGAUGACGUGUCGAGCACGCUCGGAUCACUGAGCGCUUACUUCCACCCCGAAGACCGACGCCACCAUGUUGUUGUUGUUGUUGUUGUUGUUGUUGUUGUUGUUGUUGUUUUUCCUCAUCAUAUCCCACGUUUCAAUUGCAACGAACCAAAGCACGAGAUCACCGCCUGGCGAGUAUCGCUAUAGUGCUUUACAGCAUUCAAAUGUGUUUAAAAAGAAAUGGUUUGAAACUUUUUUUUACAUUUUUUAUUUAAAAAUCAGCUAAAAAAAAGAAACGACAAUGUUUCAUUUAGAAUCCCAGAAAAGAUGCUUAUUUUAUUUCUAUGCCAGUGGCGUUUAGCUAACAUUUUAACGGCUCGUCGCGUUUAUUCUGUGGUACUGUAGCCGAUCGAGGAAUCUGAUGUGCAUGCUUCACCCUUUUGUUUACUUGAAUUUCCUUUAGAGCUGCUUUCGCUGAUAGGGCACGAGUGACCUGAAGUCUGCUGUAAGCCGCGCCGAUCCGACGCGAUACGAUCUCUCACCGCUUUGUAUCUGAACAGCGCCUCCCCGUGCCCAAACAGCGACGCUACUCGGCCCUGAUUUAAAGCAGACUCUCCUGUUUAAAAAACAAAAUGCUGAUCGAUCCGAGGACAGGCUUCCACUCCAUAGUAGGAGAGGAGGAACUGUUUCAGCACGGGGGGAUUACGCAACAUACCACACCAUUACCACAGCCGCACAGACGCCCGAAACACUCACUCACAUGUACAGACGAGCACCGUGUUCCUGCCAUUUCUGCUUCACUUUUUACACUCGUGGAGUUUAUCGUCUCUAUUAAUAUUCAUAAACUCUGCUCUGAUGGAGAUUUGAAUUUGACAAACGGGCUCAUCAAUCCCACACGUUUCCACCCUGGAUACAGAGAGAAAUGUUUCAGCCGUGCAUAUCCUGGCUCUAGCACUUUUUUAUUUUAUUAUUAUUUUUAAUCCAAGAUGAAUUACGCUUACCAGGAGCAUGCAAAACUGUUUUUUAUCUAUAUAUUUAUAUAUAUUUGAGCAAGUUUGUAACUAUGGGCUUGAUUACUGAUCUGCAAAAAAAGAUAUUUCAAAAAGAAAUGACUGAUUGACAGGGCAGAGUUCAUUUGCUGUAGCUGAGAAUUCAGUUAUUGUGCCAAUAAGCUGUCGUUUUGUUAACUAGCAUUUAAAAAAAAAACAAAAAAAAAAACAACACUAUACAAAAAUGUAAUACCGUAACGUGUUGUGUUUUUUUUUUUGUCCGUCUUAGCCGGGUCUUUUGUUUUGGAGUCAUUUUCUCAAAUUAUUCUACACUAACUUUUCUUCUCAAGUAGAAACAUUGUGCUGUAAAUUCAUGCUUGCAUGAAGGAGAGCGAGUCUGAGAAGGUGCCCAAGCUCUGCUCUUCCUCUCGUACAGUAGCCGGUGCACUGUUCUACUUUAUUAUGGAGCAGAGAGGAGCGAGAUCAGGCCGUCUCCCCAUUCUCCCCACUCUGCCCCCCUCAGAAAACAGGACUUCAAUUGAAAUCUGAAGCCUUCGCAUGAGCAGCAUGUUUUACUAGACACUGUUAUUACUGAUAAGCUUCUUACGUUCUAAGCUAGCGUUUUAUUCCACACGAUAGAUUACUCAAUAACACUGUGUAUAUUGGCUACAAUCAUUUUGUUUUCAUGUGUUUGCGCCUAGGAAUAUUGUUCACAGCAUUUCUGUACACUGCGAAUGAAUAUGAAGAA